CCUACGGGAGGCUGCAGUGGGGGAUAUUGCACAAUGGGGGAAACCCUGAUGCAGCGACGCCGCGUGAGUGAAGAAGUUUUUCGGUAUGUAAAGCUCUAUCAGCAGGGAAGAAAAACGACGUUACCUGACUACGCCGCCCCGGCUACCUACGUGCCAGCAGCCGCGGUAAUCCGUGGGGGGCAAGCGUUAUCCGGAUUUACUGGGUGUAAAGGUAGCGGAGACGGCAAUACAAGUCGGAAGUGAAAUACCCGGGCUCAACCUGGGAACUGCUUUGGAAACUGUAUGGCUAGAGGGCUGGAGAGGUAAGCGGAAUUCCGAGUGUAGCGGUGAAAUGCGUAGAUAUUAGGAGGAACACCAGGGGCGAAGGCGGCUUACUGGACAGUAACUGACGUUGAGGCUCGAAAGCGUGGGGAGCAAACAGGAUUAGAUACCCGAGUAGUC
rnacentral:rRNA from 1 species